rnacentral:rRNA from 1 species
UACGUAGGGUGCAAGCGUUGUCCGGAAUUAUUGGGCGUAAAGAGCUCGUAGGCGGUUUGUUGCGUCGGCUGUGAAAUCCCGAGGCUCAACCUCGGGUCUGCAGUCGAUACGAGCAAACUAGAGUGUUGCAGGGGAGACUGGAAUUCCUGGUGUAGCGGUGAAAUGCGCAGAUAUCAUGGGGAACACCGAAAGCGAAGGCAAUUCACUGGCGCACUCCUGACGCUGAGACACGAAAGCGUGGGGAGCAAACAGG